rnacentral:lncRNA from 1 species
GUUAUAUUGUACAUGAGAAAGAUAAGUAUCGGGCUGCACUUGCGCUUCAAAUAUCUAACUUGCUCACCAGAGCAUUGUUUGCUUAUAAAUUGCAACUUAAUGAUUUACCACAGUCUGUUGCAUUCUUCAGCAGUGUGGAAAUCGAUAAAGUUCUUCGUAAGGAAGUUGAUAAUGAUUGUGUGACUCCUUCUAACCCUCAUGGUUUGCUCAGAGGUUAUGGAAUAACACCUGGAGAGUCGUUAGACAUUUAUGAGUUGUUGCGCAAGACCAACAAUGGAAAUCUUCAUAAAAUGGAAAUAUAAUCUUGG